rfam:Ascaris lumbricoides genome assembly, scaffold: ALTE_scaffold0000694
GCUGCCAUAGGCCCAGUCGGUUAGAGCGUAGGACUGACGGCAAAGAGCCCAAGGUCGCAGGUUCGAUCCAUGCUGACGGCA